CAUAUGAGUUGUUGCGGACCAUGUUGUUAGUGAUUGGUGGCUACUUUUGUGUGGCAAACUGUCAUUAUAACAAUCCUUUCAGUUUCUUCGUUCACCAUAAUAAUGUGGACCUUGAUUGUGGCUCUGUAAUAGUUGCUUGUGGCGAGAAUCCUAAUCUGGGUGGUAUUUAUGGUCGUUGAUGCUUCCUGGAUAGCCUCUAUUUGCCUUUGAGGCAGGGGGACUGUUCUGUGGAAUGUGAUCCCUCCAAUCUCAGGUUCGAGUUGUGUCCCAGGACAUUCUCGUUUCUGAGAUGUGGAAUGAGGGUCUCAUCCUAUUGGUGCAAAUGUGGCUCCUUGAAAUCGGGUCUUGGUGUUUCUGCACCUUGCUCGGGUGGAUUUAUCCAAUCGAUUGUGCCUUCAUCCUCCGUGCGACUCUGGUCUCUUUCCCCUCCUGCCAUAUUACGUGUAUGGCUGCGGUGGGGUGGAGAUCAUGGUUGCGUUGAGGACGUGCUACCUGGUUGAUCCUGCCAGUAGUCAUAUGGCUUGUC
rnacentral:misc_RNA from 1 species